UAGGUUCCUUUUAGACCAAUCAGUAUCAGGAAAGGUGCAUAUCUGGAUCGAGCGAUAAACUCCUCGGUCAAAAACCACUCGAACAUCCAUUAAACAUGUUCUUCAUUUAGAUUAUCAAAGAGCUCAACCCACUCUUUGGCAUUCUCUAGCUGAUCGAACAUGUUGGGGAUGUUCGUUUUGGAGUGGUGGAAAGCGAUGUGGUCAUCUCAGUCCCUCCACUGAAUUGCUUGUUAGUAUUAUCCCUUUUGGAGAUGUUCCAUAAGCCAAAUCUGAAGUAGUAGAUUGUAGCCUUCGAAGUGUUUUUCUCCUUGUUGACACUUCUCUAAGGCUCGGUAUAUGUCUGCGAUGAUUAUGGGCACAAUGCUAAAUAUCUGCCAACCAAUCCCUUCCAUUAGGGUCUUCGUUACCAUAGCCAUCCUAGUGUGGAUUCUCAUUUUCUUCAUUGGAAACACGAUCAGACUCGGGAAACAAAACAUGAAUACGAACACCUUACGAUGAAUAUGUCCCAAGGACAUAAGGGCAAACUCGUCAGGGUUGGUACGGUAAGGUUUGUUGUGACCAUGCCUUUCAUACAGGUAGUCAAAAGGGAUGUAUGAUUCCUUUAGGCAUGUCAAUUUUCCAUUCUUCUUUAAACUAUCACUUUAAGGAAACCCUUGCAUGUGUGGUUCUCAGGCAUUAGC
rnacentral:lncRNA from 1 species